AAAAAGAUAAGCUAAGUUUUAAGCUAAUGGGCUCAUACCCCAUCCAUGUGAAUUCUUCACUCUUUUUU
rnacentral:tRNA from 1 species